GAAUAUAUAGAAGAAGAAGUUGCGUAGCUUUGAGGCUCUUCACAAAAAACACACACCUAUACAGAAAAUAUGCACACAUAUACACAGAGAAGAUAGAGAGACGCCGGGAAAAAUUUUGAACACAGCUGCGCAACUCUUGGACACAGAACCCCGACGAUCUCUCUUCUUCUCCGACCAAACGACCCCCCCAUUGGUUCAUCUCCUCCCCAAACUCAAUUAGCUAAAGCCAUCGAGACCACCAGAGCUCAUCGGAAACCAUCAGAAACAGUGUCGAGCUCACCGGAAAACGAGUUGACACCACCACCAAAGCCUCGCCUGGACACUACUGCUUCAUCUUUCGUCCAUCCUUUAAACCUCAGGACUUUUCUUGACUCAAAACCAGUCCAGUGACCUCUCGUAUUGGGAAAUUAUCUGCGCUUAUGACCAUGUCGAGAUCUGUCAAUUUAAAGCUCGUUGCUUGAAGCUUCGACCAAAGGUUCCUGUUCGAGGUUGUCGCAUGGAAGUCUCCGGCGCUGGUUCUGUCGCCAGGAGGGUAUGCGCCUUCAGUAGGUCCUUUGCCUUUAUGUCGUGUUCAGAAGUAUUAUCCUUCAUGUUUGAUGAAUCGAUUGGCUAAUACUAUUGUUCGAAAUGCUUCGUUAUGAGUUUAUGAAAUUCUACUUAAAAUUUGCGUCAUUUGUAUUAUGUUACGUUUCCAGUUGAGCCUUCUUUCUCAGUUAAGGCUAGGUUUGAAUGAAUUUUAAUUAUAUAAAAGCUAAUCGAAUUGAAA
rnacentral:lncRNA from 1 species